rnacentral:tRNA from 1 species
UCCCCACUAGUUUAAAUGGUAAAACAGGACAAUAGUCAAAAUGCAGGUUCGAAUCCUGUGUGGGGAG